ACCAGGGGAGGAAGAACUAUCUGUUGUAAUAGAAGAUUCUGUCGUAGGUAACUUAGGGAUGUGUUGCAAUGUAGUUGCUUCAGUGAAUUGACUUUCUGUAGUACCAGAGGAAGAUCUCUCUGUUGUGACAAAAGAUUCAGUUGUGGGCAAAUCAGGAAUUUGUUUAAUAGUUGUUCGCUCAGAAAGUGGACUUUCUGUAGAACCAGGGGAGGAAGAACUUUCUGUUGUAAUAGAAGAUUCAGUCGUAGGUAACUUAGGGAUGUGUUGCAAUGUAGUUGCUUCAGUGAAUUGACUUUCUGUAGGACCAGACGAAGAUCUCUCUGUUGUGACAAUAGAUUGAGUUGUGGGUACCUCAGGGAUUUGUUUUAUUGUAG